CAGUCGCCACGGGAAUACGAAGGGGGCUAGCGUUGUUCGGAAUUACUGGGCGUAAAGCGCACGUAGGCGGACAUUUAAGUCAGGGGUGAAAUCCCGGGGCUCAACCCCGGAACUGCCUUUGAUACUGGGUGUCUAGAGUAUGGAAGAGGUGAGUGGAAUUCCGAGUGUAGAGGUGAAAUUCGUAGAUAUUCGGAGGAACACCAGUGGCGAAGGCGGCUCACUGGCCUAAUACUGACGCUGAGGUACGAAAGCAUGGGGAGCAAACAGGAUUAGAUACCCCCGUAGUCCCUGUCUCUUAUAC
rnacentral:rRNA from 1 species